rnacentral:rRNA from 1 species
AUACAGAGGGUGCGAGCGUUAAUCGGAAUUACUGGGCGUAAAGCGCGCGUAGGCGGUCUAUUAAGUCAGAUGUGAAAUCCCAGGGCUCAACCUUGGAACUGCAUCUGAUACUGGUAAGCUAGAGUUUUGGAGAGGGAAGUAGAAUUUCAGGUGUAGCGGUGAAGUGCAUAGAGAUCUGAAGGAAUACCAGUGGCGAAGGCGACUUCCUGGCCAAAAACUGACGCUGAGGUGCGAAAGCGUGGGUAGCAAACGGGAUUAGAAACCCUAGUAGUCC